UACGUAGGGUGCGGGCGUGUCCGGAAUUAUUGGGCGUAAAGAGCUUGUAGGCGGUUUGUCGCGUCUGCUGUGAAAAUCCGGGGCUCAACCCCGGACUUGCAGUGGGUACGGGCAGACUGGAGUGUGGUAGGGGAGACUGGAAUUCCUGGUGUAGCGGUGGAAUGCGCAGAUAUCAGGAGGAACACCGAUGGCGAAGGCAGGUCUCUGGGCCACUACUGACGCUGAGAAGCGAAAGCAUGGGGAGCGAACAGG
rnacentral:rRNA from 1 species